rnacentral:rRNA from 1 species
AUCCUACGGGGGGCAGCAGUGAGGAAUAUUGGUCAAUGGGCGCGAGCCUGAACCAGCCAAGUCGCGUGAGGGAAGACGGUCCUAUGGAUUGUAAACCUCUUUUGUCGGGGAGCAAAAGACGCCACGUGUGGCGUUCCGAGAGUACCCGAAGAAAAAGCAUCGGCUAACUCCGUGCCAGCAGCCGCGGUAAUACGUAGGUGGCAAGCGUUGUCCGGAAUUACUGGGUGUAAAGGGAGCGCAGGCGGGAAGCCAAGUCAGCUGUGAAAACUACGGGCUUAACUUGUA